GGCCCGUUGGUCAAGCGGUUAAGACACCGCCCUUUCACGGCGGUAACAAGGGUUCGAUUCCCUUACGGGUCACCA
rnacentral:tRNA from 1 species